ensembl:snRNA U11 spliceosomal RNA
UAAAAGGGCUUCUGUCAUGUUUGGCACAGGGAGAGUGGGGAAAUCCAUUUUUCUUGCGGAAUCGCAAUCAAGAGAUUUCGGAAGCAUAAUUUUUAUAACAGGGGCUGCUAGAGAUCACUUGUCCUGGCGUCCCG